CCGUACUUCCUUGCUUCCCAUAUGUGAUGUGGUCGGUAUGGAAUGUAAAGAAGUAUGGAG
rnacentral:pre_miRNA from 1 species